rnacentral:rRNA from 1 species
GAGUCUUGAGAAGGGCUGUCCCUAGUACGAGAGGACCGGGACGGACGAACCUCUGGUGUGCCAGUUGUUCUGCCAAGGGCAUGGCUGGUUGGCUACGUUCGGGAGGGAUAACCGCUGAAAGCAUCUAAGCGGGAAGCCUGCUUCGAGAUGAGGGCUCCCACCCACUUGAUGGGGUAAGGCUCCCAGUAGACGACUGGGUUGAUAGGCCGGAUAUGGAAGCACGGUAACGUGUGGAGUUGACCGGUACUAAUAGGCCGAGGGCUUGUCCUCAGUUG